rnacentral:rRNA from 1 species
UGAUCCAGCCAUGCCGCGUGUGUGAUGAAGGCCUUAGGGUCGUAAAGCACUUUCGCCAGAGAUGAUAAUGACAGUAUCUGGUAAAGAAACCCCGGCUAACUCCGUGCCAGCAGCCGCGGUAAUACGGAGGGGGUUAGCGUUGUUCGGAAUUACUGGGCGUAAAGCGCACGUAGGCGGAUUAGUCAGUCAGAGGUGAAAUCCCAGGGCUCAACCCUGGAACUGCCUUUGAUACUGCUAGUCUUGAGUUCGAGAGAGGUGAGUGGAAUUCCGAGUGUAGAGGUGAAAUUCGUAGAUAUUCGGAGGAACACCAGUGGCGAAGGCGGCUCACUGGCUCGAUACUGACGCUGAGGUGCGAAAGUGUGGGGAGCAAACAGGAUUAGAUACCCUGGUAGUCCACACCGUAAACGAUGAAUGCCAGUCGUCGGGUAGUAUACUAUUCGGUGACACACCUAACGGAUUAAGCAUC